UACAGAGGGUGCGAGCGUUGUCCGGAAUCACUGGGCGUAAAGGGCGCGUAGGUGGUGGCUUAAGCGUGCGGUGAAAGCUCGGAGCUCAACUCCGAGUCGGCCGUGCGAACUGGGCUCACUGGAGCAUAGUAGAGGCAGGUGGAAUUCCGGGUGUAGCGGUGGAAUGCGUAGAGAUCCGGAGGAACACCAAAGGCGAAGGCAGUGUCCCGGGGAGUACCUGACGCUCAGGUGCGAAAGCCAGGGGAGCGAACGGG
rnacentral:rRNA from 1 species